ensembl:snRNA U6 U6 spliceosomal RNA
GCGCUUUGGCAGCACAUAUACUAAAAUUGGAACCACAGAGAGAUGAGCAUGCCCCCUGCGAGAGGAUAACAAACUGGAAGAGGGGGGACUUUUGUUC